UACGAAGGGGGCUAGCGUUGUUCGGAUUUACUGGGCGUAAAGCGCACGUAGGCGGAUUGUUAAGUGAGGGGUGAAAUCCCAGGGCUCAACCCUGGAACUGCCUUUCAUACUGGCAAUCUAGAGUCCGGAAGAGGUGAGUGGAACUCCUAGUGUAGAGGUGGAAUUCGUAGAUAUUCGGAAGAACACCAGUGGCGAAGGCGGCUCACUGGCCCGGUACUGACGCUGAGGUGCGAAAGCGUGGGGAGCAAACAGG
rnacentral:rRNA from 1 species